rnacentral:lncRNA from 1 species
CCAAGACUUCCCACAACCGUUGGAUCUCUCCAAAAACAUCAUCGGACGGUAACCGAAACCUACAACAAGGACACGUGUUCUUCUUUCCCAACCAUGGUAAAAUACACAUCCAAUGAAACAAAUGCUGACAUGGCAACUCACACACGUCUCUCCCUACUUGCAUCUCUUCUUUACAUAUCACACACUCUCUCCCACCAACACUCACCUCCACCGCCGGCAAAGAAACCACCGUCGCCGCCGAAGCCGCCACCUCCUUCACUUCUUUCCCUUCUUCACAACCCAAAACACCUACCAAUCUCCAACAUCGACUCACCGUCUCGAUAAACGGAAUCAAAACCGAACCAAAACAAGCACCAAGCGGUGGUGCAGAAGAAUAAGAAAGCGUUAACAAUGUGUUGGAGAAGAUUUUGUUCAAGUUUAGCCUCCAGUGUGAAAACGGUGCGGUUAAAGCUUCUGGGUUGUAUUUAUGUGUUUCACAGAACAACAGAAGGAGUAACACAGCGUCGGUGUCACGUUCUCUCAUGGAAGUUGAAACAGGAGGUGGAAGAGGUGAGGUGGGGUUGUUUGAUUGAGUGAGGAGGUGUAGAAAGGAAAGGAGGUGGCGUGAAAUGAGGAGAGUUUUUUGUUGAAGAGAUAGAGUGUGAAGGUGGUGAAGAGUUAGUGAGAAGAGUGAUGGGGAGGAAAGGAGGAAAGUGAGACGGCGGUGGUGGCGGCGGGUGGAGGAGAGAAUGGUGUUAGUGAGGUUUGUGAGGUGGGAAGGAGGGAGAGAUGAAAGUGCUGCCAAGAUGGUUGAUGUUGUUUCUUCCAUAUGGAUAAAUGAAUUGGUUUGGAGUGUUAGUUUUUUUACUUAUAGAAUUCGAGAGUAAUUUGGGAGUGUGAAUGGGGAUGAUGAUGAGAAGGCUUUUGCUUUUUAUGUAUGUAGUGUACCACAUGUGUUUUACUCAUUACUGUCAUCAUCACUGCUACUUCCUUUUUGUAUGAUCCAAUGUGUCAUUGAUCUCUGUUCCUUUUCAUUGUAAUUCUACUAACUACUUUAAGACAGAAAAAAGAAAGAGAAAAAAGAAUCUAAA